GAGCAUGUGACGAACAACUCGGAUUCCCCUUCAAGACAAUUAUGGGUGAUGCAAAGACCGAGUUUCUGAUGCU